UUGGAGGGCAAGUCUGGUGCCAGCAGCCGCGGUAAUUCCAGCUCCAAUAGCGUAUAUUAAAGUUGUUGCAGUUAAAAAGCUCGUAGUUGAAUUUCGGGAUCAAUACGUCGGUCGUGCUUUUUUGGUACGCACUGGCGUCAUUGGUUUCUCCUUUCUGACGAACCAUGAUGUCAUUAAUUUGGUGUUAUGGGGAGUUAGGACUGUUACUUUGAAAAAAUUAGAGUGUUUAAAGCAGGCAUUAGCUUGAAUACAUUAGCAUGGAAUAAUGAAAUAGGACGUUCGAUCCUAUUUUGUUGGUUUCUAGGAUCAACGUAAUGAUUAAUAGGGAUAGUUGGGGGCAUUAGUAUUCAAUUGUCAGAGGUGAAAUUCUUGGAUUUAUUGAAGACUAACUACUGCGAAAGCAUUUGCCAAGGAUGUUUUCAUUAGUCAAGAACGAAAGUUAGGGGAUCGAAGACGAUCAGAUACCGUCGUAGUCUUAACCAUAAACUAUGCCGACUAGGGAUCGGAUGAUGUUAAUUUUUUAAUGACUCAUUCGGCGCCUUACGGGAAAC
rnacentral:rRNA from 1 species